UACGGAGGAUGCAAGCGUUAUCCGGAUUUAUUGGGCGUAAAGAGCGCGCAGGUGGUUGAUUAAGUCUGAUGUGAAAGCCCACGGCUUAACCGUGGAGGGUCAUUGGAAACUGGUCGACUUGAGUGCAGAAGAGGGAAGUGGAAUUCCAUGUGUAGCGGUGAAAUGCGUAGAGAUAUGGAGGAACACCGGUGGCGAAAGCGGCUUUCUGGCGCAUAACUGACGCUGAGGCUCGAAAGCGUGGGGAGCGAACGGGAUUAGAUACCCGGGUA
rnacentral:rRNA from 1 species